rnacentral:rRNA from 1 species
AAACGCUUGAAGUCAGUCGCGCCGUUCAGGACUCAGCCUUGCUUUGCUUGGUGUACUUCCUGUUUGGUGGGUCAGCAUCAAUUUUGGUCGGUGGAUAAAGGCUUAGAGAAUGUGGCAUCUUCGGGUGUGUUAUAGCUCUGCGUCACAUACACUGGGCGUGACUGAGGAAUGCAGCUCGCCUUUAUGGCCGGGGUUCGCCCACGUUCGAGCUUAGGAUGUUGACAUAAUGGCUUUAAACGA